GUGGGGAAUUUUGGACAAUGGGCGCAAGCCUGAUCCAGCAAUGCCGCGUGCAGGAAGAAGGCCUUCGGGUUGUAAACUGCUUUUGUACGGAACGAAACGGUCCUGGUUAAUACCUGGGGCUAAUGACGGUACCGUAAGAAUAAGCACCGGCUAACUACGUGCCAGCAGCCGCGGUAAUACGUAGGGUGCGAGCGUUAAUCGGAAUUACUGGGCGUAAAGCGUGCGCAGGCGGUGCUGUAAGACAGGCGUGAAAUCCCCGGGCUCAACCUGGAAAUUGCGCUUGUGACUGCAGUGCUGGAGUACGGCAGAGGGGGAUGGAAUUCCGCGUGUAGCAGUGAAAUGCGUAGAUAUGCGGAGGAACACCGAUGGCGAAGGCAGUCCCCUGGGCCUGUACUGACGCUCAUGCACGAAAGCGUGGGGAGCAAACAGGAUUAGAAACCCGGGUAGUCC
rnacentral:rRNA from 1 species